rnacentral:snoRNA from 1 species
CAUGAUGAUUCCUAUCUAAUCUUUCGGGUAUGAAAUGCAAUGAUUUCAACUUCACAACUGAC